UGUGAUAUAAUCAUUCUCACUUGUCAAUUAACAUUUUUGCUUUACUUGUUUACUUCAUUAUUUCAUUUUAUUUACUUAUUUUUAAUUUUUUUGUGUUUUAUUAUUAAUCUGUUAAUUUCCUUGGUUUUUCGUUUCAUAUAAAUACAUAUUGUACAUGUGUGUAUGUAAAGUUUAAUAUACAAUUUUUACUCGUUUAAAAAAAUAAAAAAAAGAAUAUUAAUGGAUGAAGGAGUGAUUUGAAUAAAUCUAUUAUUCAUAAUUGAUAAACUAUUUUUAUUUUAGUUUCUUUUUAUUAAAAUGAAUUAUUAUAACUAUAUAAUUAAGUUAUUUGUCUUUUAUUUUGCAUUUUUUAAUUUGUACCAUUGUCUUUAUGUAACUGAUGGUAGCUCGAUUAUUUUAGAAAAUAUAGGAACUAAAUACAAGUAAAUACAUUCAUAUAUAAUAAAAAGAAAAUAACUUACUAAAAAUUGUCUUCGUUUUAUUAUUAGCUUGUUUGUGUCAUUGUUGGGUUUCAUUUGUUCUUUUUUUUUUUUUUUUUUUUUUUUACCCGUUACGUAUACCCAUGCGUCUCUGCCACUUUUGUUUAUUAAAUUGUAUAUCUAACCACUCACAUUGUUUUUUUUAUUCUAUUCUGCAAAGACUUUAUUCCACCGAUAUGAAAUGGGGGACAGGAUCAGAAAAUCAAUUAGUGACAGCUGUAACUACUAAUAAAAAUGAUGAUGAGUUAUUAUGGACCGUUAGGGUGUAUGAUGGUAUGUAAGAUAAAAACAUUUAGAAAAGAAAAAAAUAAUAACAGAACCUAUAAUAAGAAAAAAAAAAAAAAAAAAAAAACAAUAAUAAUAAUAAUGAAUUAAUAUAUCAUGAUAGUGGAAAAAUAAAUAAAUAAAAAAUAUUAAAUGAAAUACCGCU
rnacentral:lncRNA from 1 species